GUUUGAUCAUGGCUCAGAUUGAACGCUGGCGGCAGGCCUAACACAUGCAAGUCGAACGGUAACAGGAAGAAGCUUGCUUCUUUGCUGACGAGUGGCGGACGGGUGAGUAAUGUCUGGGAAACUGCCUGAUGGAGGGGGAUAACUACUGGAAACGGUAGCUAAUACCGCAUAAUGUCGCAAGACCAAAGAGGGGGACCUUCGGGCCUCUUGCCAUCGGAUGUGCCCAGAUGGGAUUAGCAAGUAGGUGGGGUAACGGCUCACCUAGGCGACGAUCCCUAGCUGGUCUGAGAGGAUGACCAGCCACACUGGAACUGAGACACGGUCCAGACUCCUACGGGAGGCAGCAGUGGGGAAUAUUGCACAAUGGGCGCAAGCCUGAUGCAGCCAUGCCGCGUGUAUGAAGAAGGCCUUCGGGUUGUAAAGUACUUUCAGCGGGGAGGAAGGGAGUAAAGUUAAUACCUUUGCUCAUUGACGUUACCCGCAGAAGAAGCACCGGCUAACUCCGUGCCAGCAGCCGCGGUAAUACGGAGGGUGCAAGCGUUAAUCGGAAUUACUGGGCGUAAAGCGCACGCAGGCGGUUUGUUAAGUCAGAUGUGAAAUCCCCGGGCUCAACCUGGGAACUGCAUCUGAUACUGGCAAGCUGAGUCUCGUAG
rnacentral:rRNA from 1 species